AUGAUCUAUGGACUGAGGUUCAUGACAUUGUACAGGAGACAGGGAUCAAGACCAUCCCCAUGGAAAAGAAAUGCAAAAAAAGCAAAAUGGCUGUCUGGGGAGGCCUUACAAAUAGCUGUGAAAAGAAGAGAAGCAAAAAGCAAAGGAGAAAAGGAAAGAUAUAAGCAUCUGAAUGCAGAGUUCCAAAGAAUAGCAAGGAGAGAUAAGAAAGCCUUCCUCAGCGAUCAAUGCCAAGAAAUAGAGGAAAACAACAGAAUGGGAAAGACUAGAGAUCUCUUCAAGAAAAUUAGAGAUACCAAGGGAACAUUUCCUGCAAAGAUGGGCUCGAUAAAGGACAGAAAUGGUAUGGACCUAACAGAAGCAAAAGAUAUUAAGAAGAGGUGGCAAGAAUACACAGAAGAGCUGUACAAAAAAGAUCUUCACGACCCAGAUAAUCAUGAUGGUGUGAUCACUCACCUAGAGCCAGACAUCCUGGAAUGUGAAGUCAAGUGGGCCUUAGAAAGCAUCACUAUGAACAAAGCUAGUGGAGGUGAUGGAAUUCCAGUUGAGCUAUUUCAAAUCCUGAAAGAUGAUGCUGUGAAAGUGCUGCACUCAAUAUGCCAGCAAAUUUGGAAAACUCAGCAGUGGCCACAGGACUGGAAAAGGUCAGUUUUCAUUCCAAUCCCAAAGAAAGGCAAUGCCAAAGAAUGCUCAAGCUACUGCACAAUUGCACUCAUCUCACACGCUAGUAAAGGAAUGCUCAAAAUUCUCCAAGCCAGGCUUCAGCAAUACGUGAACCGUGAACUUCCAGGUGUUCAAGCUGGUUUUAGAAAAGGCAGAGGAACCAGAGGUCAAAUUGCCAACAUCCGCUGGAUCAUGGAAAAAGGAAGAGAGUUCCAGGAAAACAUCUAUUUCUGCUUUAUUGACUAUGCCAAAGCCUUUGACUGUGUGGAUCACAAGAAACUGUGGAAAAUUCUGAAAGAGAUGGGAAUACCAGACCACCUGACCUGCCUCUUGAGAAACCUAUAUACAGGUCAGGAAGCAAGCUAG
rnacentral:lncRNA from 1 species